GACGAACGCUGGCGGCGUGCUUAACACAUGCAAGUCGAACGGAAAGGCCCUGCUUUUGUGCGGUGCUCGAGUUGCGACCGGGUGAGUAACACGUGAGUUACCUGCCCUUGACUUUGGGAUAACUUAAUGAAACUGGGGCUCAUACCGGCUAGGAGCUCCUGCUGCAUGGUGGGGGUUGGAAAGUUUCGGCGGUUGGUGAUGGACUCGCGGCUUAUCAGCUUGUUGGUGUGGUAGUGGCUUACGAAGGCUUUGACGGGUAGCCGGGCUGAGAGGGUGACCGGGCACAGUGGGACUGAGAUUGAGACCAGACCCAGACGGGAGGCAGCAGUGGGGAAUAGUGCAAUAGGGGCGGAAGCCAGAGGCAGCAACGCCGAGGGCGGGAGAAUGGCGUUCGGGUUGGAAACCGCUUGCGCCUGUGACGAAGAGUGAGUGAAGGUAAUGGGUAAAGAAGCCCCGGCUAAAUACGGU
rnacentral:rRNA from 1 species